rnacentral:lncRNA from 1 species
CUACUAAUUCUAUCAUCCAUGUAAUUGCUACAUCAGUUUCAAGUGAAUGAUUUUUCUUCUAAUCAUGGAUUGUAUUUUCUCACUUCUUUGCAUGGCUAGUAACUUUUAAAUGAAUGCUAAAUGUGAAUGUUACCUUAUUAGUUGCUAGAUAUUCUUGUAUGCCUGUUAGUACUUAGCACUACUCCUUCCCUUCUAAGCUUUUCCUCUUUUCACAUGCUAGAAGACUCUCUUGUCAGCAAAGUCCCACUGUAAGUUCUGACAAUUAGGCAUUUGCAUAAAAUUAGAAGAGAAAAAGAAACUAUAAUUUAAUAUUCUUCUUCAGAUUCCAGCAGUAAUCUAGUGUGCACUCUUAUUGAAUAAAUGGCAUUGAAGGAAAAGAGAAUUAUGAUCCGAAUAUAGCCAGAAAACAAUGUGUGCCUCUUUGCAGCUGUGUGGCAACAAGAGGCAUAUUAAAACAGGCUCCUGUGGACACAAAAAUAGCCUCAUUUCAGUUCCUAAUCUUUCAGUAAUACCAUCUUCCUCCCAUUUGUUCCUCUAGUAAUUACAAAUUUCCACC